GGAGGCUUCGCCUAGUCUGGUCUAUGGCGCCGCACUGCUAAUGCGGUUUGGGCCUUAAAGCCCAUCGAGGGUUCAAAUCCCUCAGCCUCCG
rnacentral:tRNA from 16 species